rnacentral:rRNA from 1 species
UGGGGAAUAUUGCACAAUGGGGGAAACCCUGAUGCAGCGACGCCGCGUGAACGAAGAAGGUAUUCGUAUCGUAAAGUUCUGUCCUAUGGGAAGAUAAUGACAGUACCAUAGAAGGAAGCUCCGGCUAAAUACGUGCCAGCAGCCGCGGUAAUACGUAUGGAGCGAGCGUUGUCCGGAAUUAUUGGGCGUAAAGGGUACGCAGGCGGUUUAAUAAGUCGAAUGUUAAAGAUCGGGGCUCAACCCCGUAAAGCAUUGGAAACUGAUAAACUUGAGUAGUGGAGAGGAAAGUGGAAUUCCUAGUGUAGUGGUGAAAUACGUAGAUAUUAGGAGGAAUACCAGUAGCGAAGGCGACUUUCUGGACACAAACUGACGCUGAGGUACGAAAGCGUGGGGAGCAAACAGG